UUAACAUCUCUGCCUUUUGGCUAAGAUCAAGUGUAGUAUCGUUUUAAUAGCUUAUUACAGCCCUUUUAAAGACAUCCAAGUUGGUGGCAAUCACUACUUCUUGUGGAAGCGAAUUCUAACUAUGUGUUGUGUGAAGAAUUACUUCUGUCUUGAAUCUCCCACCACUGUUUCAUAAGAUGACCCCAG